rnacentral:rRNA from 1 species
AGGAUCAUUACCAAACGAGUGAGAAAUCGCUCUCUACCUGCUCAGUGGCCCUCGGGUCGCUGACCGGUUUAACCCUUUGUGAACCAAAAAACCUUUUCGCUUCGGCAGCUGGGCCUGACCGCCUGUCAGCCUGCCGCUAGCACCAAACCACAAACCUGUUGUCAAAACAUUGUCUGAUAACCAAAUUUUCGAAUGAAAAUUAAAACUUUCAACAACGGAUCUCUUGGUUCCCGCAUCGAUGAAGAACGCAGCGAAACGCGAUAGUUAAUGUGAAUUGCAGAAUUCAGUGAAUCAUCGAGUCUUUGAACGCACAUUGCGCCCAUUGGUAUUCCUUUGGGCAUGUCUGUUUGAGCGUCAUUACAACCCUCAGCUAACCGCUGGUUUUGAACCGGAACGGGUACCCACCCGCACCGAUUUUAAAGUUGUAAGCUCUGCUGGCUGCUCUGCCAAACCAGAACAUAGUAAAAAACUACUUGUUGGGGUGAAGCUAAGCGGUACGGCCUGGAACAAAACCUACCCAUUUUCAAGGUUUGACCUCAGAUCAGAUAAGGAUACCCGCUGAACUUAA